rnacentral:piRNA from 1 species
AAUUCUUCUGAAGCUGGCUGACAAA